GACGAACGCUGGCGGCGUGCUUAACACAUGCAAGUCGAACGGCAAGGCCUCUUUCGGGGGGUACUAGAGUGGCGAACGGGUGAGUAACACGUGAGUAACCUGCCCUUGACUUUGGGAUAACUUCAGGAAACUGGGGCCAAAACCGGAUAGGAGCUCCUGCUGCCUGGUGGGGGCUGGAAAGUUUCGGCGGUUGGGGAUGGACUCGCGUCGUAUCAGUGUGUUGGUGGGGUAGUGGCUCACCAAGGCGAUGACGGGGAGCCGGCCUGAGAGGGUGAGGAGCCACAGUGGAACUGAGCAACGGUCCGGACUCUUCCGGGAGGCAGCGGUGGGGAAUAUUGGACAAAGGGCGCAAGCCUGAUCCAGCCCUACUGCGUGGGUGAAGAAGGCCUUCGGGUUGUAAAGCCCUUUUGUUGGGAAAGAAAAGCAGCAGGUUAAUACCCCGCUGUUCUGACGGUACCCAAAGAAUAAGCACCGGCUAACUUCGUG
rnacentral:rRNA from 1 species